rnacentral:lncRNA from 1 species
GGACACAGGAGACAUGUGGGGACACAUUGGGGGGACAUGGGGACAACCAGGAAUGUCUUCAAGGGCGUCUGCACCAACCCCAUCUUCUGCGCCAUCGUCCUGGGCACCUUCGCCGUGCAGGUGGGACAUGGGGACACACGGGGACAUGGGAACACAUGGGGACAUGUGGGGACAUGUGGGGACACACAUGGGGACACCAGGAACAUCUUCGAGGGCGUCUGCACCAACCCCAUCUUCUGCACCAUCGUCCUGGGCACCUUCGCCGUGCAGGUGGGACAUGGGGGGACACGUGGGGACACACGGGGACAUGGAGGGACACAUGGGAACAUAUGGGGACACAUUGGGGGGACAUGGGGACAACCAGGAACGUCUUUGAGGGCGUCUGCGCCAACCCCAUCUUCUGCACCAUCGUCCUGGGCACCUUCGCCGUGCAGGUGGGACAUGGGGACACACGGGGGACACAGGGGAACAAUGCCAUGAUGGCUUGGAGUGAGGGGUUUGGGGUGGAGAAGGACACAUGGGGACACCAGGAACGUCUUCGAGGGCGUCUGCGCCAACCCCAUCUUCUGCGCCAUCGUCCUGGGCACCUUCGCCGUGCAGGUGGGACAUGGGGGGACACACGGGGACAUGGGGACACACAGGGGACAUGUGGGGACACGUGGGGACAUGGAGGGACAUGGGGGACACGCAGGGACAUGGGAGGACAUGUGGGGACACACAUGGGGACACCAGGAAUGUCUUCGAGGGCGUCUGCGCCAACCCCAUCUUCUGCGCCAUCGUCCUGGGCACCUUCGCCGUGCAGGUGCUGAUCGUGCAGUUCGGGGGGAAGCCCUUCAGCUGCUCCCCCAUAGGGACACAGUGGGGACAGAGUGGGGACAUUGUGGGGACACGGGGGGUGGCCGGAGGAUGGCCGGGGGAUGGCCGGGGGGUGUGUGUGACCCCAGUGUCCCCCAAUGUCCCCCGUGUCCCCAGGUGCUGAUUGUGCAGUUUGGGGGGAAGCCCUUCAGCUGCUCCCCCAUAGGGACACAGUGGGGACAUUGUGGGGACAUUGUGGGGACACGGGGGGUGGCCAGGGGGGGUGUGUGACCCCAGUGUCCCCUGAUGUCCCCAGGUGCUGAUCGUGCAGUUCGGGGGGAAGCCGUUCAGCUGCUCCCCC